AAACACAGACCUUGCUCCAAUUUUUUGUCGUGUCCCAUCUAGUGAUUUAGGACAUUCUGGUGAUUUCCAUCAUCUCCCCUGCUUCCCCUCUGCUAAGAAUGAUCUGCUGAGUGCUGACAUUGUUUUCCAGUCAUACCUGUCCUUUUUGUGAGCAGCCCUGACCUCUAUUCUUUGAUCUGUGUUUCGUUGCUUCCAUUUCACACAACUUCUUCCUUGUUUUCCCAGCUUCUUCUCUUUUGCAUAACUCUAUUUCUAUUUUACACAGGUAAAUUUUAAAAAAAAUAUUCAGGUACAUAGAUGGGCCGGCACUUUUUUUGUUUGUUUGUAAAUUUAGGUACAUACCUUCAAUUUUAUUUUGCUAUUAGAUUUAUCUUUACACAACUAGCAGACUAAAAUACAAUUUAUUUACAGUUGCCCGCCUAAUAUGAAUUGAGUUUAUUUUAUCUUUUAAAUGGCUAGACCGUACUGAUGUAACUGAAAUUUACAGUUUAUUUAGAAAGGUGAAACUUACAUAUUUGCUGCCUAAAAAAGAGGUUCUUAAUUUCUG
rnacentral:lncRNA from 1 species